rnacentral:rRNA from 1 species
GAGGAACCUGCCUCAAANAGGGGGACAACAGUUGGAAACGACUGCUAAUACCGCAUAAGCCCACGGCUCGGCAUCGAGCAGAGGGAAAAGGAGUGAUCCGCUUUGAGAUGGCCUCGCGUCCGAUUAGCUGGUUGGUGAGGUAACGGCCCACCAAGGCGACGAUCGGUAGCCGGACUGAGAGGUUGAACGGCCACAUUGGGACUGAGACACGGCCCAGACUCCUACGGGAGGCAGCAUG